UGGAGCUUUAAACCCGACNGCNCCCACUUAUUUAACACCUUCUUAUCCGCCUGGCCCCUGUCUGCUCGGUUUUGGGUUGGGGUGACCGCGGAGCAUAAAAUAGCCUCCACGAAAGAAGGGAUGAUUCCCUCAUUUUAGAACUACACUUCCAAAGACUAACAAAUUAAUUUUAAGUGAUCCGAUACCCGUAUUCGAUCAACGAACCAAGUUACCCUGGGGAUAACAGCGCAAUCUACCUCAAGAGCCCCUAUCGACAGGUGGGUUUACGACCUCGAUGUUGGAUCAGGGUAUCCCAGUGGUGCAGCAGCUACCAAAGGUUCGUUUGUUCAACGAUUAA
rnacentral:rRNA from 1 species